rnacentral:rRNA from 1 species
UACGGGGGGAGCAAGCGUUGUUCGGAUUUACUGGGCGUAAAGGGCGCGUAGGCGGCCACCGCAAGUCAAUUGUGAAAUCUCCGGGCUUAACUCGGAAAGGUCAACUGAUACUGCGGGGCUAGAGUGCGGAAGGGGCAACUGGAAUUCUCGGUGUAGCGGUGAAAUGCGUAGAUAUCGAGAGGAACACCUGCGGCGAAGGCGGGUUGCUGGGCCGACACUGACGCUGAGGCGCGAAAGCCAGCGGAGCGAACGGG